AAGCACAAAGGGGAGCCGAAGCUCCCCUUUAAUGUGUCGUUGCGUGCUCUUUUUUUAUUAUUGAGGGGCGGUCUGUUGUUGUUUUUGGCAACCGUGGCCCUUUGCUGCUGUUUUGGGUGAUCCCCAUCCGGGAUCAAGAGCAAACGUAUUUUUUUGAGCGCUGAUCCAAUGUGUCGCCAGGGCGAUCCAACCAGUUCGGGAGCUACCUCAGGGUAGUU
rnacentral:misc_RNA from 1 species